rnacentral:rRNA from 1 species
GACGAACGCUGGCGGCGCGCCUAACACAUGCAAGUCGAACGAGCGAGAGAGAGCUUGCUUUCUCGAGCGAGUGGCGAACGGGUGAGUAACGCGUGAGGAACCUGCCUCAAAGAGGGGGACAACAGUUGGAAACGACUGCUAAUACCGCAUAAGCCCACAGCUCGGCAUCGAGCAGAGGGAAAAGGAGCAAUCCGCUUUGAGAUGGCCUCGCGUCCGAUUAGCUAGUUGGUGAGGUAACGGCCCACCAAGGCGACGAUCGGUAGCCGGACUGAGAGGUUGAACGGCCACAUUGGGACUGAGACACGGCCCAGACUCCUACGGGAGGCAGCAGUGGGGAAUAUUGCACAAUGGGGGAAACCCUGAUGCAGCGACGCCGCGUGGAGGAAGAAGGUCUUCGGAUUGUAAACUCCUGUUGUUGAGGAAGAUAAUGACGGUACUCAACAAGGAAGUGACGGCUAACUACGUGCCAGCAGCCGCGGUAAAACGUAGGUCACAAGCGUUGUCCGGAAUUACUGGGUGUAAAGGGAGCGCAGGCGGGAAGACAAGUUGGAAGUGAAAUCCAUGGGCUCAACCCAUGAACUGCUUUCAAAACUGUUUUUCUUGAGUAGUGCAGAGGUAGGCGGAAUUCCCGGUGUAGCGGUGGAAUGCGUAGAUAUCGGGAGGAACACCAGUGGCGAAGGCGGCCUACUGGGCACCAACUGACGCUGAGGCUCGAAAGUGUGGGUAGCAAACAGGAUUAGAUACCCUGGUAGUCCACACUGUAAACGAUGAUUACUAGGUGUUGGAGGAUUGACCCCUUCAGUGCCGCAGUUAACACAAUAAGUAAUCCACCUGGGGAGUACGACCGCAAGGUUGAAACUCAAAGGAAUUGACGGGGGCCCGCACAAGCAGUGGAGUAUGUGGUUUAAUUCGACGCAACGCGAAGAACCUUACCAAGUCUUGACAUCCUGCGAUGGUGCUGGAAACAGUACUUUCCUUCGGGACGCAGAGACAGGUGGUGCAUGGUUGUCGUCAGCUCGUGUCGUGAGAUGUUGGGUUAAGUCCCGCAACGAGCGCAACCCUUAUGGUCAGUUACUACGCAAGAGGACUCUGGCCAGACUGCCGUUGACAAAACGGAGGAAGGUGGGGAUGACGUCAAAUCAUCAUGCCCUUUAUGACUUGGGCUACACACGUACUACAAUGGCGUUAAACAAAGAGAAGCAAGACCGCGAGGUGGAGCAAAACUCAGAAACAACGUCCCAGUUCGGACUGCAGGCUGCAACUCGCCUGCACGAAGUCGGAAUUGCUAGUAAUCGCAGAUCAGCAUGCUGCGGUGAAUACGUUCCCGGGCCU